rnacentral:tRNA from 1 species
GGCCUGUUGGUCUAGUCGUAUGAUUCCUGCUUUGGGUGUAUACAUGUUAUUGCAGGAGGCCCCGGGUUCAAAUCCCGGACAGGCCC